rnacentral:rRNA from 1 species
UACGAAGGGGGCUAGCGUUGUUCGGAAUUACUGGGCGUAAAGCGUGCGCAGGCGGCUUCUCAAGUCAGGGGUGAAAGCCCAGAGCUCAACUCUGGAAUUGCCUUUGAGACUGAGUGGCUUGAGUACGGGAGAGGUGAGUGGAAUUCCCAGUGUAGAGGUGAAAUUCGUAGAUAUUGGGAAGAACACCGGUGGCGAAGGCGGCUCACUGGCCCGUAACUGACGCUCAUGUACGACAGCGUGGGGAUCAAACAGG